rnacentral:miRNA from 1 species
UCAAAACUGAACCGAAAAUGCAAGACUUGCUUUAAUUGUUUUCCUUCAAUUUCUUUCUGUAUUAUUUACUAUAAUGGGACUCAUGUUAUUUACACUGUGCUAGAUCAAUACAUAUAAACAUUGACAGAAAACAAUUAAAGCAAGUCUUGCAUUUUCGGUUCAGUUUUGA